AUGCAUUUCAGCUUUUCUUCUAUUAUCUUCCUGUGGUCAAAAUCAGCAGGCCGUCUCCCUGGAAAUCAGCAGGCGUUUCCCUGGAAAUCAGCAGGCGUCUCCCUGGAAAUCAGCAGGCCUCUCCCUGGAAAUCAGCAGGCCUCUCCCUGGAAAUCAGCAUGCCAUCUACCUGGAAAUCAGCAGGCCAUCUCCCUGGAAGCUGGAAACUUGCUCAAUGCAAGUAUCAACACACAUUCAAGAGUGCUGUCAUUAACAGCUCUCCUUGGAGUAAAUGCUGACGAUAUCAACUUUGAAUUUGUAUUGGAUGCAAAAUUUAAGGUGUGUUUAUUUUAUUGUUUACUUCACCUAUUGUCAAACAGGAUUUGAAAUGGGGAUGUAUGAUAUACAUUCUUAAACACCAGAAAUACCAGAGAAAGUUAACUAUGCUCUGCUGACAUUUUACUUUAAUUCCCUUCUCUUGUGUUCUAACAAAAGCUUUCUGGGCGUAAGAACAGAUUCUACACUCUGUAGAAAUAGAAUUAGUCUUCUGAAAUGCCUCCUCUGGUGACUGCUUCUCUCUCCUUGAGGGAGUCUCUGUUGGCUGACUCAGUCACAUCAAAAUCAUUGUGCUUUUUAAUACCGCGGGAGAUGCCCUCUUAAAAAUCCUUCUGCAGUUCCCUGAGGGGGCCCAUAAUUUCCCAGGGCGACUCCCGGUGAAGAGGGAGUUGACAGCCCAGGAGAAGCCGGCUUGUUUACCCGGGCAGUGAUCGCAUCUUUGUGCCCUUGUUCAAAUAAUAAGGAGAUAACUUCUUUCAAAAUGGAAAGAAAUGGCUGUGAUUUGCUGAUCCACUCCCUACAUGGCUACCAUGACAGGAGUUUGGACUGGCCAAAGUCAGGAACCAGAAACUCUAGCCUGGUCUUCCAGUUGGGUAGCAGGGUCCAAGCGCUUGGGUCAUCUUCCACUACUUUUCCAGGAGCAUUACCAGGUAGCAGAAUCCAAAGUAGAACAUUCAGAACUCAAACUGGCACUCUGACAGGGGAUGCUAGUGUCACAGGUGAACACUUUACACUGUGCACCACAGUGCUGGCCCCAACACUACAUGUCUUCCAGAAAGAUGGGUAGAGAUUCAGAACUAAUCUGCUGUUGCAAAUAAAGAAAGAAAUAUAGACA
rnacentral:lncRNA from 1 species